UACGGAGGGUGCAAGCGUUAUCCGGAUUCACUGGGUUUAAAGGGUGCGUAGGUGGGCAGGUAAGUCCGUGGUGAAAUCUCUGAGCUUAACUCAGAAACUGCCGUGGAUACUAUUUGUCUUGAAUGUUGUGGAGGUGAGCGGAAUAUGUCAUGUAGCGGUGAAAUGCUUAGAUAUGACAUAGAACACCAAUUUGCGAAGGCAGCUCACUACACAAUUAUUGACGCUGAGGCACGAAAGCGUGGGGAUCAAACAGG
rnacentral:rRNA from 1 species